GAUGAACGCUGGCGGCGUGCCUAAUACAUGCAAGUCGAGCGAACAGACGAGGAGCUUGCUCCUCUGACGUUAGCGGCGGACGGGUGAGUAACACGUGGAUAACCUACCUAUAAGACUGGGAUAACUUCGGGAAACCGGAGCUAAUACCGGAUAAUAUAUUGAACCGCAUGGUUCAAUAGUGAAAGACGGUUUUGCUGUCACUUAUAGAUGGAUCCGCGCCGCAUUAGCUAGUUGGUAAGGUAACGGCUUACCAAGGCAACGAUGCGUAGCCGACCUGAGAGGGUGAUCGGCCACACUGGAACUGAGACACGGUCCAGACUCCUACGGGAGGCAGCAGUAGGGAAUCUUCCGCAGUGGGCGAAAGCCUGACGGAGCAACGCCGAGUGAGUGAUGAAGGUCUUCGGAUCGUAAAACUCUGUUAUUAGGGAAGAACAAAUGUGUAAGUAACUAUGCACGUCUUGACGGUACCUAAUCAGAAAGCAACGGCUAACUACGUG
rnacentral:rRNA from 1 species